GUCCCUGUAGUGCAAUGGAUUGCGUGUUGGUCUUUUAAUCCAAAGGUCGUGGGUUUGAAUCCCACCUGGGAUG